rnacentral:rRNA from 1 species
UACAGAGGUCUCAAGCGUUGUUCGGAUUCAUUGGGCGUAAAGGGCGCGUAGGCUGCGGGGUAAGUCGGGUGUGAAAUCUCAGGGCUCAACCCUGAAACUGCACUCGAUACUGCUCUGCUUGAGGACUGGAGAGGAGACUGGAAUUCACGGUGUAGCAGUGAAAUGCGUAGAUAUCGUGAGGAAGACCAGUGGCGAAGGCGGGUCUCUAGACAGUUCCUGACGCUGAAGUACGAAGGCCAGGGGAGCAAACGGG